UUGCCCACUGAGGUCCAGCAACCAGUCACGAGUUGAUAGAAUGAUAUGGAAUUAACCAGUCAUGUGUAUAAUCAUCAGUCUUGAUCAUAUGGAAUAACGGACACAACAAGGAAUGUCUGCACACACCUCCAACAGCUAGAGCACUUGCAUAGAACUGAGCACCUUUCUUCAGCUCCUGUGACUGUACAAGCUACCUACCAUAACCCAUAUAGUCUAUGACCAAGAUCAUCUUCUGAAGCCAACCCAUGAUGUGACUCAUCUUCAGCGCGCUGUCCUAUGUGGCUGACAGCAUAGUUUCCUGCUGCUGCCCCUCAGGAAAGAUCAAAUCAGCUACAGGUUGACAAUACCAGCUCAGGGGGGAGGAUGUGUGGACAGUCUUCAAAGCGGCACCAUCCAGUGAAAACCCUCCAGCCAAUAAGAUUCUCUCUUAGAUGGCUAUUUUAGAGAGGGACUAGGGGUAGGGUUUUUGUACUUUGAAAAUGCAUCCUUCCUUCAAAAUUUCACUGAUUAGUACAGAAUUAGAUAGUUCUGCAUAUGUCUAGCCGGUACUUUUCCUCUGUGCUUGUGAUAAUGACGACUUGUCUGUAAACUCCUUGUUUGGGAGGUGGAUAUAUCUGACAACACCCAAGUACAGAAGGUAACCAGCAGAGUCGAGUGCAUCUGAACUGCAACCUAUUUUGCUUUCAUUUUAUUUAGUCAAAUCUAUGACAAAUGUAUUGAACAAAGUUAUAUGUAAUUAAGAAAAUGUUACUUGAUGGAGCACA